rnacentral:rRNA from 1 species
GCUUGUCUCAAAGAUUAAGCCAUGCAUAUCUAAGAAUAACUAACAUUAUCUUGAAUCUGUGAAUGGCUCAUUAUAUCAGUUAUAGUUUACAUGAUAGUCAAUACUACUUGGAUAACCGUAGUAAUUCUAGAGCUAAUACAUGCAUAAAGACCCGACUUCUGGAAGGGUUGUAUUUAUUAGUUACAGAACCAGCCCAGGCUCUGCCUGGUCUUGUGGUGAUUCAUAAUAACCGAACGAAUCGUAUGGCAUCAGCUGGCGAUGAAUCAUUCAAGUUUCUGACCUAUCAGCUUCCGACGGUAGGGUAUUGGCCUACCGUGGCAAUGACGGGUAACGGAGAAUUAGGGUUCGAUUCCGGAGAGGGAGCCUGAGAAACGGCUACCACAUCUAAGGAAGGCAGCAGG